rnacentral:rRNA from 1 species
GACGAACCGUGCGAACGUUAUCCGGAAUCAUUGGGUUUAAAGGGUCCGUAGGCGGUUUGGUAAGUCAGUGGUGAAAGCCCAUCGCUCAACGGUGGAACGGCCAUUGAUACUGCCAGACUUGAAUUAUUAGGAAGUAACUAGAAUAUGUAGUGUAGCGGUGAAAUGCUUAGAGAUUACAUGGAAUACCAAUUGCGAAGGCAGGUUACUACUAAUGGAUUGACGCUGAUGGACGAAAGCGUGGGUAGCGAACAGG